AGGAUGUGGAAAGGAUUCAUUUUAUUUCCUUUGGUGCUGGGAGCGUUGAGGAGCAGCCUCUCCAAGAGCAAGCUAAGAGUCGAGGAGAUGACGCUUGGGGUCCACUUAUGUCUUCAAGGUCCGUGGUGACAGGGACGCCAUGCCAUUUCUCCUGUCUGUCUGUCCUUGGUGUCAAAACGAUUAAGAAAUAAAAUUCUUACUCAACA